rnacentral:rRNA from 1 species
GACGAACGCUGGCGGCGUGCCUAAUGCAUGCAAGUCGCACGGGUCUCCUUCGGGAGGUCAGUGGCGAACGGCUGAGGAACACGUGGGGACCUAUCCUUAAGUGGGGGACAACACCGCGAAAGCGGUGCUAAUCCCGCAUACGCUCUGCGGAGGAAAGCGUGGCAACACGCGCUGAAGACUGGCCCUGCGGCCCAUCAGGUAGUUGGCGGGGUAACGGCCCACCAAGCCCGUGACGGGUCGCUGGUCUGUGAGGACGACCAGCCAGACUGGGACUGAGAUACGGCCCAGACUCCUACGGGAGGCAGCAGCAAGGAAUUUUCGGCAAUGGGCGCAAGCCUGACCGAGCAACGCCGCGUGCGGGAUGACGGCCUUCGGGUUGUAAACCGCUUUUGGGGGGGAAGAAACAGACGGUACCCCCCGAAUCAGCCCCGGCUAACUCUGUG